UCCGGACACAGACCAGUAGUGGUCCAUGGC
rnacentral:piRNA from 1 species